rnacentral:rRNA from 1 species
AUUGAACGCUGGCGGCAGGCCUAACACAUGCAAGUCGAACGGUAACAGGAAGAAGCUUGCUUCUUUGCUGACGAGUGGCGGACGGGUGAGUAAUGUCUGGGAAACUGCCUGAUGGAGGGGGAUAACUACUGGAAACGGUAGCUAAUACCGCAUAACGUCGCAAGACCAAAGAGGGGGACCUUCGGGCCUCUUGCCAUCGGAUGUGCCCGGAUGGGAUUAGCUAGUAGGUGGGGUAACGGCUCACCUAGGCGACGAUCCCUAGCUGGUCUGAGAGGAUGACCAGCCACACUGAAACUGAGACACGGUCCAGACUCCUACGGGAGGCAGCAGUGGGGAAUAUUGCACAAUGGGCGCAAGCCUGAUGCAGCCAUGCCGCGUGUAGGAAGAAGGCCUUCGGGUUGUAAAGUACUUUCAGCGGGGAGGAAGGGAGUAAAGUUAAUACCUUUGCUCAUUGACGUUACCCGCAGAAGAAGCACCGGCUAACUCCG